rnacentral:lncRNA from 1 species
AGGACAGAGAGGUCGGUAAACAGGCCGCCCGACCUUGCCGUUGACUCCUGCUCCCUCUGUGCCUUCGAAUUACAUGGAGGACUUGCAGUGCCGUUACAGACUCGAUACGACAUGCUUUAGCCACCCCAUGGAUAUCCUCUGGAAGACGCAAGCCGGACAGCUGAACUUCUGUUUUGAUGACUCUUUGAUUCUGUAAGCUACUCUUUUUUCUUUAUCUUAUUUUCAUUUAAUUUCUUUCCUUUUCCCCUUAACUUUUCUCCUAAUUAUUUUCUCCUGUUGUGGUGUUGUCUGUUUGUUUGUUUUUUCUCAUUUAUUCUAAAUCAACUUAAAUCUCUCUGUUUAUGCGGUGCCAUAUGACUCCCAGUCCAACAGAUUUCAUAUCUGUUGCUGGACACCGAGUUAAACCAAACCAUAUGCCACCAAUUGCGGCAAAUUAGCCUGGAUCCAGAUUAUCAGCACUAAAAAACCUGUCCGAGUUUGAAGCGUCAUUAAUUCUCCAGCCGUUUUGUUUUGCAAUGGGAUUGCCAAGCACUCAGUGAGGGUUGGUUUGUUAUUGUGGUCACAGACAUUGUAAUCAGGCCUCAAUAAUCACACUUCCAGAAGCGGAAUGCGCCUGGGGCCCGCGCCAACAGGAUCUAAUAUGGGGCGCCGUGGGCCGCUAGCCUGCAGACACACAGAGCUGGCAGAUGGAGGCUGCCAUUAAACAUGUACAAUCAGAGAACACAAUCACUGAGUAAUGCGUUGUGCACGGAGAGGAGAACGGUAGAGGAUGUACAGACUUACUGUAGAUUUAGUGUCAUUAAAUGAUUUCUGCAUUACCCUUUUUUCCUGUGGUUGAUGGCAAGACUGAACACAUGCAGGUUGGUAAAGAAACUUAAUUAUAUUGAUAAUAUAAUAUUAAUUGAUUUCAAAGGAUGACAGUGACCAGUCUCAACUUCUAAUGCAACAAAUCAGACUCACAUGUUUUCA